CCAAUAGCGUAUAUUAAAGUUGUUGCAGUUAAAAAGCUCGUAGUUGAAUUUCGGGGUUAGUAGAUUGGUCGUGCCACUGGUAUGCACUGGUCUUACUGAUUCCUCCUUCCUGAUGAACCGUAAUGCCAUUAAUUUGGUGUUGCGGGGAGACUGGACUGUUACUUUGAAAAAAUUAGAGUGUUUAAAGCAGGCUAACGCUUGAAUACAUUAGCAUGGAAUAAUGAAAUAGGACGUUCGAUCCUAUUUUGUUGGUUUCUAGGAUUGACGUAAUGAUUAAUAGGGAUAGUUGGGGGCAUUAGUAUUCAAUUGUCAGAGGUGAAAUUCUUGGAUUUAUUGAAGACUAACUACUGCGAAAGCAUUUGCCAAGGAUGUUUUCAUUAAUCAAGAACGAAAGUUAGGGGAUCGAAGACGAUCAGAUACCGUCGUAGUCUUAACCAUAAACUAUGCCGACUAGGGAUCGGAUGAUGUUAAUUUUUUAAUGACUCAUUCGGCGCCUUACG
rnacentral:rRNA from 1 species